AUACGGAGGGUGCGAGCGUUAAUCGGAAUUACUGGGCGUAAAGGGUGCGUAGGCGGCUUGAUAAGUCGGAUGUGAAAGCCCCGGGCUUAACCUGGGAAUUGCAUUCGAUACUGUCAGGCUAGAGUAUGUCAGAGGUUGGCGGAAUUCCUGGUGUAGCGGUGAAAUGCGUAGAUAUCAGGAGGAACACCAGUGGCGAAGGCGGCUAACUGGGACAAUACUGACGCUGAGGUGCGAAAGCGUGGGUAGCGAACAGGAUUAGAAACCCUAGUAGUCC
rnacentral:rRNA from 1 species